rnacentral:tRNA from 1 species
UAGAUGGAAGCUCGCGUGGUUAGAGCGCUUAGCUGUUAACUAAGAGUUUGUAGGAUCAAGGCCUGCCCAUCUAG